ACUCCCUUCUGCAGCAUGCCUACUAAAACUGGAAUGAUAUAGAGGUUAUGAAGAACCCUGCACAAGGAUGACAUGCAAAUCCAUGAAACAGUCCAUAUUUCA